AAGUUCCAAAUGACGAUAACAUAGUUCAAAUGAAUCCUGAUUAUUAAUUUUAAUUGUCUUUCGCUCCUAUCUGAUGGAACUG